UACGUAGGGUGCAAGCGUUAUCCGGAAUCACUGGGCGUAAAGCGUGCGUAGGUGGAUGUUUAAGUGAGAUGUUAAAUCGUGUGGCUCAACCAUAUCGAUGCAUCUCAUACUGGACGUCUAGAGGACAGCAGAGGCAAGUGGAAUUUGAAGUGUAGCAGUGAAAUGCGUAGAUAUUACAAGGAACACCAAUGGCGAAGGCAGCUUGCUGGGCUACUCCUGACACUGAGGUACGAAAGCGUGGGGAGCGAACAGG
rnacentral:rRNA from 1 species